rnacentral:lncRNA from 1 species
UCUGGGUACAAUUACCCCCUUUGCCUAAAGGAGGAUUGCUUGAUAUCCUAUACAUUACAGGAGUGUAGUUUGAAAGGCAUACGUGGUGUUAGAAAGUCUUUAAUAGUGUAGCCUCUUGAAUGGUCUCUGAAUGUGAGAAAAAGCAAGAGGUGUGGGUGUGCUGCAAGGCUCUUUCCUGCUCCUUACCAAGAUUUCUAUUUCACACAUACUUCACUGGAAACAGCUCUCCAUAAAUUCACAUUCAUUCUUAUUUCACUUGCAUAUCCAGUCAUAAGAGAAAAACUUCUGUUUAAAGCAUAGGCUGGCUUAUCUGACAGUUUGAUCGGAGUGAAGUCUUAGGAAAACUGUGCCUUCGUCAUGUGGGUGGUGAGAUUAAAUGAUAUGCAGUGUAUGCUCAGAGUAGUUGAAUGAUUAGGCACUUACAUCUGUUUAAUUAAAGAAUGAGCUUCAACCUCUGUUUAAUUAAGGACUAGCUCAUUUCAGUUGUGAUAGCAUGCUGGGAGUUUGUGAUUCAAAUCUAAGGAUAGCAGAGAAAAAGAAUGAAGCUCAAACCAACAUUAACGGGAAAAAAAGAGGUAGAUAAAAGGGGUGCUGUAUCAUGUUCUUUUCCUGCAACAUUUAAAGAAGUGCCCAGAGGCUAUGAAUGAAACUGCUGAACAUUUCACAGAUACUGCAAGGGGCAAUUUCUGCCCCAUGCAGUUUACAGCAAAAAAUAAGCAAGACAGCCAAAAGCAGGAGGCAAUAACCAAGGGAGGGAUUUGGCAUGAAAUCUGCUGCAAGAACAUGCAAGUGCGGGAAGCAACAGAGAGCUCUGCUGCUGCAGAUUUCCGUCAGGGUUAG